CUACACCCAGCAGCCUUCCAUCACUGAAUUAGAAAUUCAGAUAGUCCAGUGCCUAAGUGCAGUGAGUUGCUUGCAAGUCACUGUGGCAUCUCAAGUCGGAGGGACAUUUAUACCCAUAUCCCAUCGGAGCAAAUCUUCACAGUAGAAAAAGCUCCGGAGUCAGUCAUGUUCAGUGCAGAUGUACCCUUACAUCUCACCUGUAUGCCAUAUCAGUAUCUCCACACUCCUUGGUUAAGAGGACAACCAACCCAUAUGGCACACAACGACCUAUGCUUGAUAAAUAUUGUUGUCCUUGAUAACAACAUAUCAUUUGGUCGUGAACAGGUUUAAGGACUAAACGAUAAAUCCUCCUUUGUCGAGUC
rnacentral:lncRNA from 1 species